ACAGUAUGGGGGCUUUUGGUUUGGGCCCAGAUCAAGGCCCUACUCUAGUGUUCGUGAGGGGUUUUCUCCUUUUCAGUGUGCUGUGGAAAUCCACCUUUUCUCUGAUGUUCCCUGCAUUUUUGCUCUUUAUCAAUCUAGAAAUAGCUCUGUGCCAAAUAUUUGAGUGCGAAAGUUUCACCAUGGUGUUCUAAGAAUUCCAACCCUCCAUUUAAGGAAAGUUCCAUCAUUUUUUUUGUUUGUUUGUUUUGUUUUGUUUUUUCCAGGUGUGCCCAGCCAGAAGCCAAGUUUGAUUCUGUGCAGUGGAUCUGAUACCCGUUUCCUUUUUGCACUGGGGCUGCAGACAUUCUGGGGACAUCCAUGUAGAUCUCAUGAUGCCAUUGGCACUUGUAGGAUGUCAGAGGACGUCAAACUUUGGCUGUUAAUUGACUGGUCUGGGAGGUGGUAUGGAGGAAGAGGGAAGCUGCCUCUCAGGGACCAAGGAGCGAAACCUGGGAUUUACACUAGCAACUGUUUUAAGAAAUAUGUUCCUGGCCCUGAGCAUCAUCUCAAAGGAAGAGAGCGAGCUCAUCUCUGUGACCCAUCCACCUUGAAGGACUAAUAGAGAUGUAGGGCACCAAGGCAUGGUGAGGUUAAACACAACCAUCGUUCUCAAGGGAGCCAGCCUGCUAUGAAAGCCCACCAGGGAGAGUUUCUCGCCUGCCUAAGCAUCUCACAGUUAACAUAUUAUCCUUUUAUCCUCUCCACUUCCAGAAGCAGGGCAGGGAACCAGAAAUCAUUAUAGGAAAUGCUGCAAGAAUUGUUGGGCUUAACAUGUAGCAGGGAAAACUCAGAGUAGGCCAUAGGGUGAGCUUUGUAACUUCAAGGCCACUUGGGAACAGGAGUAGUUUGCCUCUGGAGGGUGUGAGGCUCCAUCACCAGGGUGUCUGAGAGCAGGUAAGGUGUCGGUUGGGAAGCGAUCAGCUGUGACACCCUCCACAGCAUGACUUGGACAGCCUUAUGGACAGACCAGUAAAAUUUAUUGUUGUAUUUCACAGCUUGGGUGAUUAUUUUAAUUGAAAAAAAAAAAUAUUUAGCUGAAAAAGGUUUUAUUUCAACUAUACUUACAUUAAGCAGCUUGGUUUAUACUUAGUAGAAAAAUGUUUAAUGUUCAGCCUGGGAAUAGUUGUUUAGCAAUAAUAGUUAUUUAUACAAUAUUAAUUUUCACUUUGAAUACUUAGAUUUUCUUAAAUCCCUCCCUUGUCCUCUUCCAUUUCCCCUUACCACCCUCUCUCCCCCCGAAAACACACACACACACAAAAUAAAUAGAUAAAAUAAUAAUAAUAAUAAUAAUCA
rnacentral:lncRNA from 1 species